UACGUAGGUGGCAAGCGUUGUCCGGAUUUACUGGGCGUAAAGGGCGCGUAGGCGGCCUCGCAAGUCCCGUGUGAAAUCCCUCGGCUCAACUGAGGAAUGGCACGGGAAACUGCGGGCUUGAGUUCGGGAGAGGGAAGCGGAAUUCCGGUGUAGCGGUGAAAUGCGUAGAUAUCCGGAGGAACACCGGUGGCGAAGGCGGCUUCCUGGACCGAUACUGACGCUGAGGCGCGAAAGCUAGGGAGCAAACGGG
rnacentral:rRNA from 1 species